GUGCUUGCUUUGGCAGCAUAUACACUAAAAUUUGAAUGAUACAGAGAUUAGCAUCCCCUGCACGAGGAUGACACACAAAUUAGUGAAGUGUUCUAUACUUUC
ensembl:snRNA U6 U6 spliceosomal RNA